GACGAACGCUGGCGGCGUGCUUAACACAUGCAAGUCGAACGGCAAGGCCCUGCUUUUGUGGGGUGCUCGAGUGGCGAACGGGUGAGUAACACGUGAGUAACCUGCCCUUGACUUUGGGAGAACUUCACGAAACUGGGGCUAAUACCGGAUAGGAGCUCCUGCUGCAUGGAGGGGGUUGGAACGUCGCGGCGGGUGGGGAUGGACGCGCGGCUUAUCAGCUUGCUGGUGGGGUAGUGGCUGACCAAGGCUGUGACGGGUAGCCGGCAUGGGAGGGUGACCGGCGACAUUGGGCCUGCGAGAGGCACCAGACGCCUAUGGGGGGCAACAGUGGCGAAUAUUGCCCAACGGGCGCAAGCCUGUUGCAGAGACCCUGCGUGCGUGAUGACGUCCUUCGGGUUGAAAACCGCUUCCGCCUGUGACGAAGCGUGAGUGACGGUAAUGGGUAAAGAAGCACCGGCUAACUACGUG
rnacentral:rRNA from 1 species